rnacentral:rRNA from 1 species
UAGGGAAUCUUCCGCAAUGGGCGAAAGCCUGCCGGAGCAACGCCGCGUGAGUGAUGAAGGUCUUCGGAUCGUAAAACUCUGUUAUUAGGGAAGAACAAAUGUGUAAGUAACUAUGCACGUCUUGACGGUACCUAAUCAGAAAGCCACGGCUAACUACGUGCCAGCAGCCGCGGUAAUACGUAGGUGGCAAGCGUUAUCCGGAAUUAUUGGGCGUAAAGCGCGAGUAGGCGGUUUUUUAAGUCUGAUGUGAAAGCCCACGGCUCAACCGUGGAGGGUCAUUGGAAACUGGAAAACUUGAGUGCAGAAGAGGAAAGUGGAAUUCCAUGUGUAGCGGUGAAAUGCGCAGAGAUAUGGAGGAACACCAGUGGCGAAGGCGACUUUCUGGUCUGUAACUGACGCUGAUGUGCGAAAGCGUGGGGAUCAAACAGG